rnacentral:rRNA from 1 species
AUUGAACGCUGGCGGCAUGCCUUACACAUGCAAGUCGAACGGCAGCGGACCUUCGGGUGCCGGCGAGUGGCGAACGGGUGAGUAAUGCAUCGGAACGUACCUUUCAGUGGGGGAUAACGUAGCGAAAGUUACGCUAAUACCGCAUAUCCUGUGAGCAAGAAAGCAGGGGAGCGCAAGACCUUGCGCUGAUUGAGCGGCCGAUAUCAGAUUAGAUAGUUGGUGAGGUAACGGCGCACCAAUGAGACGAUCUGUACUUGGUCUGAGAGGCUGAUCCGCCACACUGGGACGGAGACACGGCCCAGGCUCCUACGGGAGGCAGCAGUGGGGAAUUUUGGACAAUGGGGGCAACCCUGAUCCAGCCAUGCCGCGUGAGUGAAGAAGGCCUUCGGGUUGUAAAGCUCUUUCGGCCGGGAAGAAAUCGCACAGGCUAAUACCUUGUGUGGAUGACGGUACCGGAAUAAGAAGCACCGGCUAACUACGUGCCAGCCGCCGCGGUAAUAC